rnacentral:rRNA from 1 species
GCGCGAAAACUUCGCAAUGUGCGAAAGCGCGACGAGGCUACUCUGAGUGUCAUCCGCUGAGGAUGACUUUUCUUAGGUCUAAACAGUCUAGGGAAUAAGGGGAGGGCAAGCCUGGUGUCAGCCGCCGCGGUAAUACCAGCUCCUCGAGUGGUUAGGGCGUUUAUUGGGCCUAAAGCAUCCGUAGCCGGCUCUGCAGGUCCCCUGUUAAAUCCAACGGCUCAACCGUUGAUCUGCUGGGGAUACCACAGAGCUAGGAGGCGGGAGAGGCGGACGGUAUUCCGUGGGUAGGGGUAAAAUCCUUUGAUCCACGGAGGACCACCAGUGGCGAAGGCGGUCCGCUAGAACGCGCUCGACGGUGAGGGAUGAAAGCUGGGGGAGCAAACCGG